UACCAGCACCCCGAGUGGUCGGGACGAUUAUUGGGCCUAAAGCAUCCGUAGCCGGUUCUACAAGUCUUCCGUUAAAUCCACCUGCUCAACAGAUGGGCUGCGGAGGAUACUAUAGAGCUAGGAGGCGGGAGAGGCAAGCGGUACUUAGUGGGUAGGGGUAAAAUCCGUUGAUCCAUUGAAGACCACCAGUGGCGAAGGCGGCUUGCCAGAACGCACUCGACGGUGAGGGAUGAAAGCUGGGGGAGCAAACCGG
rnacentral:rRNA from 3 species